rnacentral:rRNA from 1 species
GUGGGGAAUAUUGGACAAUGGGCGCAAGCCUGAUCCAGCCAUGCCGCGUGAGUGAUGAAGGCCUUAGGGUUGUAAAGCUCUUUCACCGGUGAAGAUAAUGACGGUAACCGGAGAAGAAGCCCCGGCUAACUUCGUGCCAGCAGCCGCGGUAAUACGAAGGGGGCUAGCGUUGUUCGGAAUUACUGGGCGUAAAGCGCACGUAGGCGGAUAUUUAAGUCAGGGGUGAAAUCCCAGAGCUCAACUCUGGAACUGCCUUUGAUACUGGGUAUCUCGAGUAUGGAAGAGGUAAGUGGAAUUCCGAGUGUAGAGGUGAAAUUCGUAGAUAUUCGGAGGAACACCAGUGGCGAAGGCGGCUUACUGGUCCAUUACUGACGCUGAGGUGCGAAAGCGUGGGGAGCAAACAGGAUUAGAUACCCGAGUAGUCC